GGCGGGAGCUGGUAGGAAAAGUUUGGGAGCGAAAGCAGACGACAUAUCUGAUAAUUACGGAGCAGAGAUGAAAUACGCCCCUUGAAAAGAGGAAGAGGAUACAACUUUGUUUGGAUAAUUUUAUUUGGGUAUAUUCUUCAUUACAAACCAGUCUGUUGCAAGAGAAUGAAACAGCGUUUACUUGUUUACCUAACAUUAAUUGCCGCUACAUUGCACAAGCUAUAUCAUAUUGAACGGCAAAAUCUUCGUAAUUCAAGGCGAUUUUUUAAAUAUAAAUUCAUGUAUUUUGCGGAUACAAAGUUUGAAGCAUUUUUACUUGUCAUCCGGAAACAGCAAAUAGAUUUUAGACAACAAGGAUACUUAUUGCUGAAAUUUCAGGGGGAACUUUCGAAUAGAAGUUCAUUGUUCUCCUAAUAUACCAACAGUCGAAUCAAGGAUGGCAGAUAAAGGAUUCAUGGAAAAUGAAUGGAUUUCCGGUUUACCAUUUCAAGAAUUCCGGUUACGACUUUUGGCCUAAUGCUGAAGGGAGCAAUUGCUGACGGUCUGUAUUAGUGUACUGUCAUGGAGUUGCUCUCUUUAAUAGAUAGGCCGCAUUCAACAAAACCGGAAAUGGCAGACAUCUUGGGACGAGUAUAGUACGGAUCCAGUUUUAACAUUAUGGACGGAUUAUUUGCUUUCUUCAUUCAUCUUCUUGGAGAAACAUUUGAAAUAUAAUAUCAGCUCAAACUAGCACUUUCACCACAAAGAUGAAUGCAUACUUUUCAGCAUCGAUGACAAAGAUAAUCAGUGAUCACCGGAGACAAUAUCAGAAACAUCUUCUUCAACCAGACUCUUAUUCGUCUCACUCUACGGCUUGAACACCUUGGUCAUCUGGAUUCCCACAGCGAAAAUGAUUGGGGAUACACGGGGAUAACUCUUGGAGAAUAUUUCAAGUAUCCAGUCGCACGGGACAGUCCUGUAGAACAUGUAUUGGACAAUAUAUUGUUGGUAAAGAUGUUGUUCGUUUACUAAACAAUAAAUACUUCUCUGUGGUUUGGUGCUAUACUGCUUAACCGUAACUUUUAGACACUUUCCGGCUAACAUGUUACAGUACAAAAUCCCAUGGUUUAUAAUACAACACUUGAGUGUCGAAAACUGAUUCAGUCGCUAUCUAGAAAAUGUUUGGCGGUAUUCAAACACAUUUUUCUAUCAACAUGACCUUCUUAAGAACAGUCUUACUCAAAAUCUCGAGUUGAACGUCAAAUGAAUAACUGGUUACUUAUUCUCUACUCGUUAGAAAAUGAUCGACUGCAUGUCCAUAUGGAAAAAAUCAAUAUUAUUUUUAAGGAAACCUGUUUAUGGUGCAUGCAAUGUCGACUAGUUACCAAAAUAAACAAAAGAGAAUAUGUGAAUUAAAACUAGAAAGGAGUCGGCUCGUUAAAUUGCAACUCGAGUUUACAUUAGUGUUUUCACCUAGUAAAGAUAUUCACUUUGGUGGUAUAAAUUUGCAUUAAAUCGUGUAAUGAAUCAACAAGUAUGUGUUUCUUAUCUGGUUGUAAUAAUAUCCUUUAGAUAUAUAUGCGUUUUUGUACCAUACAAAAACAAAAGAGUUAACAAAGGUAACUUAUUGUUAAAGAAGGGAGAUAAUGAAAUGCAUUCGGGUUUAAUUACCAAAUCACGAUGCAGUCGAGUUUAAGAAUUAACAGUUAACGAAUAAGUUUUACAGACAUAAAGGUCGUUAAUCCUGCAGAUCAGGAAUGAGGAAUAGGGAAUAAAUGACUCUCCAAAAUGCUAACGAAGUUUUAGAUUAUCACUUUAAUGUUUGCUCCAUUCAUUUGAACUAAUUACUAGUCGCCGAGUACAUUGACUGACUGACUCCAGGGCUAAAUGGUUACUUUUCGAUAAAUACUGCAAACCUUUAAACCUUUAAAGUACCACAUUUUGUCUCAUGUCCUAUGUUUGGAGCCAAGGGCAACAAAAAUGUCAGUAUAAAAAGAACUUGCUGGAGUCACUUCCACUAGAACUUGCUGGAUUUACUUCCACUGUCAAUAAAGAAAAAACAUAUACGAAGAACUUGAUAGCGGAAACCAGUCAAGUGUGUACUCCAUGUCUAAAACAUUCCAAAGAAUUAUCCUCUCCAGCUUUCGAUCUUUCUUGUAAAGAGAGCGAACGUUGCUAUGUUGCAAAUUACCACAAAUUAGUAAGACUACAUGUAAAUAUGCAUAAAUUCUUCAUACUAGUACAAUUUGUUUUGUUUUCUUUUUCAUGUAUCUAAAUCUGUGUCACAGUGCGUUUAUCUGACAGAGGUAACGUAAGGUUGAACUUGGUUGCGUCAUGUGACGUCAUCAAUGGUCAUCCGUUCCAUGGGCAGUGGAACCGUCUUUUCUAAAUCACAUCCUGCUGAUAUACUAUCAGUACAUACUGCAAGAAGAAUGAGGCUGGUCGCAAUAUUUUUAGUAACAGUGACGUGUUUCAGUGUGUUUAUUCACUGCGACGGGAAGUCUAAAAUGACCCACAGGGGACGUAUUCAGUCGGGUCGAAACCACGUCCUACCGAAGGAAAGCAAUGGCGAAAAGUUGGAGAAAGAAAGGUCAAUCAUCAGUUUCUGUCAGACGCUUGAGUGUCUCCAAAUUCUUCAGAAGCUUGAAAGGCAAAUGAACAAUCAAUCUUUGGGUGUAUACAGUGGGCGAUGGUGACAAUAAUAAAUUUGAUUUUCAGCAAUAGUUUCUUCCUAUCAGAUCAGUUAGUGUUAUAUUAUGAGGCAUUAAUCGAAGAAGUUAUAAAACAGCGCGCCCAAAGGACAUUUUUAUCAAGUUAAAUUUUGUCUUGUAAUGAAAGUGCGUUCUGGUGCAAUAUUGGUUCUCGAUCUUAAAAUGUUAGUCUGACACCAUUAAGCCCACCUACAGUGUCACAGGAGAGUUACAGCUAAUUGCCAAGAAUUGCCACAGACUAAUAUUUAACCUAAAGUUCUUUUAGCAUUUAAGAAAUGGCAUGUGCCAACCAGCUUAUACUUUUACUCAUUAUAUAUGUAGCAAAAUCGAUUGUAAAACGUAUUCUUAGCAGUUAAGUUCAAAAGCGAUAUCCCGAGAUAUUCUUAAAGUCAGCACUGACUUUUGCCAGGAUCAGAAGUAGACGAAAAUGUUAGUCGUUCUUGUUGGCUGCCGACUAAGCUGUACUUUGCCACCAUGCCUCUACAGUUCUUGUAACGCAAGUUGUUUGUCUAUGCAGUAUUUAAUUAAUUGCACAUUGAGAUUAGCAAUACUAUAUAAACUGUUAUUUUCUUAAAUAUGAAUGAACUUCCGACAAAUAAUAAGACCCUUUUAGUUUGACUUGACACAGACUAUAAUCGCUCCGGCCUAUGUCGAUAUUGCAAUGGUCAGUAAUUAUAUAUUGCACGCUAAAAAUGAAUGUAAAUCGAGGAAUGGUCUGACAAUAAUGAAAGUCGCCGUCAACACAGUGUGACAGUCUGUUUUAUUACACAUACAGUCUAAUCAUACUCUUUAAGAUACAGAUACAAUGUACAUAUUAUCAUGAAAGAAAACAAGUGUUCAUUCUGUAGAUAGAACUCUGAAUAUGCUUUCUAUAGUGAUGUUAUUAACUCUGGCAUUGUUUAGCCAGGUCUGGCUUAAAUAGAUAUGCCUUCAGAUUUAUGUCAUUAUUUUACGCCAUUGUAGAUUCAGCUCCCCCCGUAUGUGUUCCUACUGAAAAACAUUAACUUCAAAAUUGUGUGUUCUCAUUUUUGAUAAACAUUGCUAAGUAACUUUUAGCUCACCAGGGUACAACGUAUUCAUAUUGACCGAUUGUUAUCACCUACCGUAUGUCCAUUGUCCGUAUGGUAACCGUUUCCUUCAAACGCCAUCUCUUCUGAUUCUAUCUGAAGCAAGUGUUGUUGACGGUUGACUUAGAUGUUCAUUGGAUGGCCAUCGUCAAUCAGUUUGAAAUAAUUAAUCGAAAAAGCUCCAUGAGUGACCUAUCUAUCAAAAUUAUUCAGAUUAUUCCGAUUCGUCGAAAAUCCUGACCACCAAAGGGCGUGGUCACAUUUGUUUUCAUGCACGUAUAGAUUUUAAAAUUUCAAAUGUUCUCGCCAGAAACUGCUACCCAAUCUUAAAAUCAUUUCACACAUUCACUAGUGAGCUUUUGUUGACCCUCUACCUAGAUUGUUAAAAAAGCAACACCUUCUCAACUAACACUGUUGGUCCGCUUUUUAAAUAACUUCAUGCGACCUUAGAUCAUUACUGUUCAACUUACUAGUAUUUUGACUCGUCAAAAGCAUUCCCGUCAUUGCUAAAUAUAGGAGAGUCUUUAAACAAAACAUGCCGUCCUAACCCCCUGGUAUGAUUUGAAAUAUUUUCAUAGAAAUGCCUACUUUCGACAUAGUACAAACUGUUCUUAAAAAUAUCAACAUCGCCAUCUGCACUGAACGUAGAAGAAAUCUUGGAACGAUAACUUGUCCUGAUUUGAAAUAAUUUAAUAGAAAUAGGUCGUUCCACGAGAAAACCUGUAUUAGUGGCAUGAUAUGAUUUCAGUUAUUUGAAUAACCUAUUUGUCAGGGAAAAAUAUUCAAAUAACAGGAGUAUAAUCAGUAUUCGAAUAUCGGAAUACUAAAUUUUCAACUUGUUUUAGUACAAAUCACACCUGAUUGGUUGGUUGUAGAUAGAUACCAAUUUUAAUGAUAUGGUAUGAUGAAGUUAUUAAGUCUGAAAAAAAACGAUACCUGUUGAUGUCAUGGUUAAAGAUUAAUCCAUUAUUUAGUUACAGUUAUCUGUUUAUAUGUAUUAUUUUUGCUAUCUGAAAAUGAAAGUUUAUGUAAACUUUGGUAAGGUGUUAAAUCAGCCAGAUUUCUUUAGAAUGUUUGUGUAAGUCAUAAUAAACUGACAGUGGUGCAGAAAAGGUGUGAAAAGAUGUCAACUGAGCAAGAUAAUUAUUUAAUGGAUUAUUGUAAAGGCAGUGGCUACGAUUACGGUACCGUAAUCCUAGCCUCCGAUUCUAGGAUUAUGGAAGUUCCGUAUUCCUAGACAAUCCUAUGAGGAUAGGCUAGGAUUACGGAAGUAUGUAAGAGGCAUCAAGUAUAUGUAAGAACAUGCAUAAAUAAUGUUGUAAACUUACUUAUUUCACUUUAAAUAGUGAUUUUUAUUCCUGUCGUACAUACGGGUGUUGAUUUCGCCCGAUUCUAUAUGCGCGGAACUUGAUCUAAAGUGACAGGCAAAAUCAAAUCAUAAAAUAUAAAGUAUAAAAUAAUUUUUAAAAUCCUUUUGAGCUAUCACUAAGAAUAUAAUUCUACGUUUGUCUGUCAUUUUCAAAAAAAAAAGUUUAUAUUUAGUAUGCUUUUGGAAAGAAAAACGUAUGUAUAAUGACGGAUCAAUAACACGAAAUACAUGUAAUACGGUAGGCAUGAAUAACUCGCUAUUUCAGUCAAAUAAGUAAGUUUACAACAUCAUUUCGUGGCCUCAACGCGAAAGUAGUCUAUCUGCUUCUAUUUCUAUAUACACAUAGACUAGUUUCGCGUUGAGGCCACGAUUUAUGUAUGUUCUUACAUAUACUCGAUGCCUCUUACAUACUUCUGUAAUUCUAGCCUAUCCUGCCCUCAUAGGAUUGUCUGGGAAUACGGAACUUCCGUUAUCCUAAAACCGGAGGCUAGGAUUACGGUACGGUCUGCAAAUUGAUUAUCCAUAUAAACAGGUAAAAAUAGAUUCAACGCAAAAUCUAUCCAGAUAACAGGAAAACUUUUGAAUUUAAUAGGGAUUUAUUGGUGCUUUAACUUUGUAUCCAAAUAAGCGGAAUAUUCCAAUAACCAGUAUUUAAAUAAGUGGAAUCGACUGUAUUGCAUAAUAAUUAGUUUAAAAUACUGGAAAUUCAAUAUUUUUCUUACGUUCAUGCAGAAAAUAUAACUACUAUAUUGUAAUUCAGUUAAAUUUCUAUCAUGUUUUACAAAUAACUGUUAUUUGUGUUGUCAUGGCAACCGAAAUUCCAAAGCACCCAUGCACCAUGAGAAUAUAGAGAUGUAAAGAUAAAAGGCCUGUGAUGAAACCAAAAAUAUACGGUUAAGUUAUUUUGCAGUAAAAUCAUUUCAGACUGUUUGAAUUAUUAAAAUGUAUGAGGUUUAGUUAGUAGUAUGCAUAAUUUAUCGCAUAAAUGACAUGAAAAAUACACGCCAUGCAUAACGACGUCAUACUGCUUUCAUGACGUUCUAAACGUUGCGUCUCUAAUUGCCUUCGGUGACUUACUUCAAAGCAUUGUAUUUUUCAGAUUUGAAAGGCAAAAGAAUGUUCUUCAUAAAUAUUUUGUAAUGUCAAGUUUGAUUUUUUGUCACUAAUACAGGUUUUGUCAUGGAACGGCUCAAGUGUUUACUUGCAAAAGUAUUUGAAUUUUUCAGAAUGAUCAAAACAUGGUUACCAGAAGUAAUGGAUUUAGAGAAAUGUGAUUUUAAUAGUGUUAGACUGUAAUGACGAUUUCUUCAUUUGAUGUUUAAGUCAUGUCCUAACAUGUUUAAGUCCCGGUUGGUUCUGGGACAAAUUUUAGAAUCACUGUCUUACCCUUGUAUGACCGAAAGACACGAAUAAAAGCUUCUAAGACUUGGUUGUUCUAUAUCCCUGUGAUACAAGCAGGUAUCAAAGUUUUGAUUCCAUACCUCAUACUUUUAUUUCGAUGUAAAUGAGAUGGAAACCAAAAUUGUAGUCCUGUUUGUACUAUGUUGGUGCACCAUAAAACCAAACCCAAACUAAAAGACAUGAUCAUAAUGACCGGUAAUAUAUGACACACGCGGCCUAGUUUAAUUUGACUUAUUCAUCAAAUACAUAAGUAAAUGUGCCCGAUGCCACCAGACGGUGUAUAUUUUUUAAACGGCAAGUACAUUUCGUGCUACGGAAGCUCGAGAGGGGCAUUUGGACGUAGAUGUUGACAUAGACAUGUAUUUCCAAUGUGUGUUUGCAUGAUUCACUCAAACAUGUUGUCAAUAUAUCAACAACUGUUUUACCGUGUGCUGACUUUUUAUCUUCAGGGCAAGACUUGAAAAUUGAAAACUUAUAAAACUCUUAGGUGUCCCUUUCUUGUGUUGAUCGUUAUGUUUUCAUAAUAGACAUAGACCUUUAGAAUUUUAUUAUAUGCCUUAUGCUUAUCUUGAUUGCAUCAUUAUUAUAAAUUCUGGGUUCUUAUCUCUGACUUUUAAGCUUAAAAAAUCUAAGGUUGAUUUUCUUAGUUUUAACGGUGGUUUAUACGGACACCUAUAAGGGUCAUUUUAACGUAGAACUUCUGAGUGUAUUGAGGUCUUCAGAAAAAAAACCCAAUAGUUUAGGCAUACAGCCAUCUAUCUCUCAUAAAACAAUAAACACACAUUCUUUCCAUUUUGCGUUGUAUACUGUCUUUCUUAGUUUAUUAGCAUUAUAACGAUUGUAUAUUUGAUGAUAUUUUUAAAUCAAGGAGCCUCUGUUGU